UUAUAUAUUCUUUAUGUUCUUAAAAAUGGAUUUAUAUUUUAUCCGAAUAUGAAUUUAUUCAAUAUCGAGAAAGUUAAUUAAAUAAAUUGCAUCGUUUAACGUGUUACUCGGCUUUUGGUUAAUAAUAAAAUAUUUAAUUACGAACAAAAUCAACCCUUAAUGCUUAUUGAUUAAUCAAGAUAGAUCGUUGAAAAUAAUCUUUAUUUCCUCUUUAUAUUAUUCUAAAUGGAUUUAAAAGUAAUUAUAAAAUC
rnacentral:lncRNA from 1 species